rnacentral:rRNA from 1 species
AGCAGCAGCCGCGGUAAUACGGAGGGUGCGAGCGUUAAUCGGAAUUACUGGGCGUAAAGCGUACGCAGGCGGUCUGUUAAGUCAGAUGUGAAAUCCCCGGGCUUAACCCGGGAACUGCAUUUGAAACUGGCAGGCUAGAGUCUCGUAGAGGGGGGUAGAAUUCCAGGUGUAGCGGUGAAAUGCGUAGAGAUCUGGAGGAAUACCGGUGGCGAAGGCGGCCCCCUGGACGAAGACUGACGCUCAGGUACGAAAGCGUGGGGAGCAAACAGGAUUAGAUACCCGCGUAGUCCCCUGUCUCUUAUA